GGGGGUAUAGCUCAAUGGUAGAUUGCUUGCCUAGCAUGCACAAGGCUCUGGGUUCCACUCCCAGCACUACCA
rnacentral:tRNA from 1 species